GUAGGGAAUCUUCCACAAUGGACGAAAGUCUGAUGGAGCAACGCCGCGUGAGUGAAGAAGGUCUUCGGAUCGUAAAACUCUGUUGUUAGAGAAGAACGUACAUGAUAGUAACUGAUCAUGUAAUGACGGUAUCUAACCAGAAAGCCACGGCUAACUACGUGCCAGCAGCCGCGGUAAUACGUAGGUGGCAAGCGUUGUCCGGAUUUAUUGGGCGUAAAGGGAACGCAGGCGGUUUUUUAAGUCUGAUGUGAAAGCCUUCGGCUUAACCGAAGAAUAGCAUUGGAAACUGGAAGACUUGAGUGCAGAAGAGGAGAGUGGAAUUCCAUGUGUAGCGGUGAAAUGCGUAGAUAUUGGGAGGAACACCAGUGGCGAAGGCGCCUUUCUGGACUGUGUCUGACGCUGAGAUGCGAAAGCCAGGGUAGCGAACGGGAUUAGAAACCCCUGUAGUCC
rnacentral:rRNA from 1 species